UUAACUCAGAUUUGUAUGGAGUUGGAACAGCGCCCCUAGCGGCAAACGUAGACAAACGUUCCAACUCCAUACAAUUUUCGGCUA
rnacentral:pre_miRNA from 1 species